UACGAAGGGUGCAAGCGUUAAUCGGAAUUACUGGGCGUAAAGCGCGCGUAGGUGGUUCAGUAAGUUGGAAGUGAAAUCCCCGGGCUCAACCUGGGAACUGCUUUCAAAACUACUGAGCUAGAGUACGGUAGAGGGUGGUGGAAUUUCCUGUGUAGCGGUGAAAUGCGUAGAUAUAGGAAGGAACACCAGUGGCGAAGGCGACCACCUGGACUGAUACUGACACUGAGGUGCGAAAGCGUGGGGAGCAAACAGG
rnacentral:rRNA from 1 species